GCAUGAAGGUGCACGAAACGCUGGUGGCAAAGAUGUGCAGCACAAGCCCUCCGGGACAUAAAGGACAGAGAAAGUGAUGCCACGUGGAGAGUUGGGGUCUGGCAGUGGAGUCCUCCAGUCGGAGCAUGCCCACCUACAGAUAUGCCUCCCAGGGACAGCUUUACCAGCCACCAGAGAGGAAGACAGUCCCGUCAGCCCAACAGGCACAGGGGAAUUUGCAGGCUGCCAUGGAAGAGCUGUGGCUGUCAUCCUGUGACUUGAGCUGAGAGACUGGUCCAAGGCCCGGGGAUAUUCACUGGGACUCACCUCCGAUGCCUUCAGGACAAGCUGAUGUGUGAUACCAUUCCCCAGGAAGCUCCCUGGGAGCCAGAUGGAGAGUGUAGACUGCAAAAGGGCUUCCCUGAGAGCUCAGAUGGUAAAGAAUCCACCUGCAAUGCAUUAGACCUCGCUUUGA